CUCCUCUCCAGACCUCUGCCAGAGGUCUGGUCUCCAGGCGCAGACCUCUGGCAUCAUUCUCCUUUCCCUCUGGGAGCAAGAGCGAAGGAUCAGGAACUCUGGAUUUGGUUGUCUCCAUAAACACCCAAGCACUCAGUGAAGGCAGGUACAGAGAGAGCUGGCAUCUCUGCUUCGGACUGAGACAACCCCACAGGAAUGGACACACUGCAUGGGAUCCACUACAGACAGCCAUCCACCAAGUGACUCAGCUCUUGUCUUGCUCCACUCUAUCCAGGAUGACAUAAAUUUAUUACCUGGUG